UUCUGGCUCAGGACGAACGCUGGCGGCGUGCCUAAUACAUGCAAGUCGAACGGUCUUUCUAUGGAAGCUUGCUUCCACUGAGAAGAUAGUGGCGAACGGGUGAGUAACACGUGGGUAACCUGCCCAUAAGAGGGGGAUAACAUCCGGAAACGGGUGCUAAUACCGCAUAGUUUUCUUGAUUGCAUGAUUGAGAAAGGAAAGACGGCCUUUGUGCUGUCGCUUAUGGAUGGACCCGCGGCGUAUUAGUUAGUUGGUGAGGUAACGGCUCACCAAGACGAUGAUACGUAGCCGACCUGAGAGGGUGAUCGGCCACAUUGGGACUGAGACACGGCCCAAACUCCUACGGGAGGCAGCAGUAGGGAAUCUUCCGCAAUGGACGAAAGUCUGACGGAGCAACGCCGCGUGAGUGAAAGAAGGUUUUCGGAUCGUAAAACUCUGUUGUCAGAGAAGAACAAGUUGGAGAGUAACUGCUCCAGCCUUGACGGUAUCUGACCAGAAAGCCACGGCUAACUACGUGCCAGCCGCCGC
rnacentral:rRNA from 1 species